rnacentral:rRNA from 1 species
AUUGAACGCUGGCGGCAGGCCUAACACAUGCAAGUCGAGCGGAUGCAGGGAGAUUGCUCCUGGAUUCAGGUGCGGACGGGUGAGUGAGUCCUAGGAAUCUGGGUGUUAGUGGGGGCUAGCGUCCUGAAGCGGGGGCUAUUACCCUAAUAGUGCUGACGAAGAAAGGGUGAAAUCAUCGGACCUCCGGAUCUCGCGUGAGCCGAUGUCGGAUUAGCUAGUUGGCGGGGUAAAGGCCUACCAAGGCGACGAUCCGUAGCUGGUCUGAGAGGAUGAUCAGCCACACUGGAACUGAGACACGGUCCAGACUCCUACGGGAGGCAGCAGUGGGGAAUAUUGGACAAUGGGCGAAAGCCUGAUCCAGCCAUGCCGCGUGUGUGAAGAAGGUCUUCGGAUUGUAAAGCACUUUUAGUUGGGAGGAAAAGCGGUAAGUUAAUACCUCGCUGUUUUGACGUUACCAACAGAAUAAGCACCGGCUAACUUCGUG